rnacentral:rRNA from 1 species
AGGACGAACGCUUGCGACGUGCCUAAGAAAUGCAAGUCGAACGAGGCAGCAAUGCCGAGUGGCGAACGGUCGCGUAACACGUGGGCAACCUGCCCUAGAGUGGGGGACAACAGCCCGAAAGGGCUGCUAAUACCGCAUGUGGAUAUUUUGUGGCAUCACUGAGAUAUCCAAAGCAGCAAUGCGCUCUAGGAUGGGCCCGCGGCCUAUCAGCUAGUUGGUGAGGUAACGGCCCACCAAGGCUUCGACGGGUAGCUGGUCUGAGAGGACGAUCAGCCGGAUUGGGGACUGAGAUACGGCCCAGACUCCUACGGGGGGGCAGCAAUUAGGAAUCUUGCGCAAUGGGGGAAACCCUGACGCAGCGACGUCGCGUGGAGGAUGAAAUCUUUCGGGAUGUAAACUCCUUUUGUCUGGGAAGAAACAAUGACGGUACCAGACGAAUAAGCCCCGGCUAACUACGCGCCAGCAGCCGCGGUAA